rnacentral:rRNA from 1 species
UACAGAGGUCCCAAGCGUUGUUCGGAUUUAUUGGGCGUAAAGGGUGCGUGGGCGGCGCGGUAAGUCGGGUGUGAAAUCUCGGAGCUUAACUCCGAAACUGCAUUCGAUACUGCCGUGCUUGAGGACUGGAGAGGAGACUGGAAUUUACGGUGUAGCGGUGAAAUGCGUAGAUAUCGUAAGGAAGACCAGUGGCGAAGGCGGGUCUCUGGACAGUUCCUGACGCUGAGGCACGAAGGUCAGGGGAGCAAACGGG